GCAUCACCAUCCUGUUUCCUGGCACUCUUUGGUUUACCAUGUGGUUUGAGGGGUUCCAGGUUACCCCAGAUUCCCUAAAAAAGCUAUGGAGACCAAGACCCUCAAACCAUGACAUAAGGAGGAGAGACUGCUGUUCUAACCACACACAAUAGGAUCUGAGACCAGAGCCUCCUUGCCCCCAAAUAUUCACAGCUUUUGACUGAAGAAAUGGUUGCCCCCUUGUGAGGAGUGGUCUGAAGAACAUUAUCUGUCUCAUCAUUGUCAUCAAGAUUCAGGACCCCUGUGCCCCAAACGCUUGGCCUGAUAUUUUGGCUAACAUCUUAUCAUGAGUUUUGCAGUGGCCUACUCCAUAAUAAGUUGCUGAUUAAGUUUCUGAGCCUGUACAAUGGAUUUUGCAGGUGCAGCUCCCAUGGGAAGAGCUCUGCCUGGCACCAGCUUUCCAUACCUGCCAAGUAUGAUGGAUGAUUCCACUGGCCAUGGUCACUGCUUUCAAACAUAACUGCUGCCAAGAGGGGCUGAUGCCAAGGUGUUGCUAAGGGAACCAUGAAGCUUAGUGAACUCUGCUCAUUCUAAUGUCACUGUAAUACACAAACACAGCUCCUGGUCUAGAGCUACUCUCCUCCUUAGGACAAUAUGCCUUGGACAUGCCUCCUUGGGACCAGACCACCACUCAGUCACUCCUCCUUUGACAUGCAUAGAAGCCUUAGUCGUGGGGGGCACAAGGGGUGGAGAAAGGCAGAGUUUGGACAUGGGCAGGUAUGAAAUGGAUUACAAAAGAUAUCUCCCUAGCAGCAGGCUUUGAAGGAGAACUUUCCCCACCGAAUCAAGAAAAGAUCAGAGGUACCAGCAGGUCUGGAUCCAAGCCCAAAGAAACAUCUUUGGACUCUUGCACUGGUGGCACCUAUAAACCUCUUUCUCUUUCCUCUCUUCACUUUACCUUUCCCUUUUCUCCACCUAUUGUGCACCAUCUUAUGGGCAAACCGUCAAGUUUUACUGUCGAUCGAAGUGAACCCCCUGGUAUGGGGGGUGGUUGCACUUUCAGAUCACA